GACGAACGCUGGCGGCGUGCCUAAUACAUGCAAGUUGAGCGCUGAAGGUUGGUGCUUGUACCAACUGGAUGAGCAGCGAACGGGUGAGUAACGCGUGGGGAAUCUGCCUUUGAGUGGGGGACAACAUUUGGAAACGAAUGCUAAUACCGCAUAAAAACUUUAAACACAAGUUUUAAGUUUGAAAGAUGCAAUUGCAUCACUCAAAGAUGAUCCCGCGUUGUAUUAGCUAGUUGGUCAGGGAAAGGCUCACCAAGGCGGUGAUACCUAGCCGACCUGGGAGGGUGAACGGCCACAAUUGGACUGGGACACGGCCCAAACUCCUUAGGGAGGCAGCAGUAGGGGAACGUCGGCCAUGGACGGAAGUCUGACCGAGCAACGCCGCGUGAGUGGAGAAGGUUGUCGGAUCGUAAAACUCUGUUGGUAGAGAAGAAAGUUGGUGAGAGUGGAAAGCUCAUGAAGUGACGGUAACUACCCAGAAAGGGACGGCUAACUACGUG
rnacentral:rRNA from 1 species